GUACGCCCGCACCGGUGAACUCAAAGGAUUGGACGGGGGCGGCACAGCGCGAGGCACAUGUGCCUACUUCGAUGAUACGAGAAGAACCCGUACCCGGGCUUGAACUGCAGGAGAACGAUACCAGAGAUGUUGAGGUCGUUUUGGGUGCGUCGGUGUGGAGGUGCCUGCAUGGUGUCGUCAGCUCGUGCCGUGAGGUGUCGGCUUAAGUGCCCAUAACGAGCGCACCCCUUUUGUCAGUUGCCAUCAGGUGAUGCUGGCCACUCUGGCGAUACUGCAACAGUAAGGUGUGAGGAAGGUGGGGAUGACGUCAAAUCAGCACGGCCUUACGUCCGGGGCUACACACGUGUUACAAUGGGGAGUACAGAGAGUGGUGCAUGGCAAUGUCCAUCCACAUCAUGAAAGCUCCCGCUCCAGUUCGGAUUGGGGUCUGCAACCCGACCCCAUGAAGCUGGAUUCGCUAGUAAUGGCAUCAGCCAUGGCGCGGUGAAUACGUUCCCGGCCCUGUGUACACACCCGCCUAAUUGAACUGUCUGCACAACGCUCUCUCACGCAUAGCGCUAGCCUCUAGCAC
rnacentral:rRNA from 1 species